rnacentral:tRNA from 1 species
GGCACUGUGACCGAGUGGACGAAGGUAACCGCCUGCAAAGCGGUACAACGAUACGUCGUGGGUUCGAAUCCCACCAGUGCCUCAA